UUUAGAAUAAAGACAUCAACUUAGAUAUCAACUAUAGUAGUUUGUUUCCUAAUAAUGCAUGGGUCAAAUUUGUGGUCAACAAGCAAACCAAUUAUUGUUGAAUGCGUAUACAUUUAUACCAUCCAUGUACGAUAUUUAAAUGCCAUAUGUACUGCCACUAAAAUUAUAUUCGCAAUGGCUUGUUUGUUUGUAGUACAAUUGUGGCCUAAACCAUGCAGAGGGAGUACAUAUUUUGUACAACUAUGCUCUAUCCAAUGGAAAUGUCUUGGCAGUGGAAAGUACUACUUAUGGUGCGGUGUGCAGUACAUUUUCAGCACAACCACUUGGGAUUAUAUAUAACUUUGGAUUCAAUUACCCUUUGCAUAAUUAUCCAGAGUUUCUUCGAUCGAUAUGAAAAUGUGGAGGAUUCCUGCAGUGGCCACCUGAGAUCACAUGUGGACACCCUCACAUAUUCCCAUUGGCUGUGUUUUCAUGUGUUCUCAGGUCGCCCCUGCUGGGCUUUCCUCCACCGCUCGAUGAGUUUGAUCAAAGUAUAGGUUGCUGAUGCCUGAUGGAUCUUUCAGAUGGUGACUACUUUUGUGUCAACUUCGCCCACCUGCAGCUACCAGUCAGUGCUAAUUCAAUAUCUACACUGUGCAAAUGUGUGCUCACGAUGCCAGGUUGUUCUUCAUAAAGAAAAUGCCAUGCUUAAUUAUAAAUAAAGCAUUGACUAAACCAAAAUCCUUACACCAGACUUAAUAGCAAGUAGAUCUUCCCUGACGACUUUCUUCCAGACCACAUGAGGAUUAAUCACCAUGAGUGCCUGCAGAGUGAAAUAAAACUAUGAAUUAAAACAAUCUAGUGUUUUCAGAGUUCAGACUGCAGAGGGAAAGAAAACCAUGAAUUACAGAUACCUUUGGCAUCUAUCAAAUAAUCCUACAAAUGAAAUGGAGCACAUCAUCUUACCCCCAGAUUUGGACAAAUACAGCUUGCUAGCCAUAAGUGAAAAAAACUUAUUACAGCCACAAA